rnacentral:rRNA from 1 species
UACGAAGGGGGCUAGCGUUGCUCGGAAUCACUGGGCGUAAAGCGCACGUAGGCGGGUCUUUAAGUCAGGGGUGAAAUCCUGGAGCUCAACUCCAGAACUGCCUUUGAUACUGAGGAUCUCGAGUCCGGGAGAGGUGAGUGGAACUCCGAGUGUAGAGGUGAAAUUCGUAGAUAUUCGGAAGAACACCAGUGGCGAAGGCGGCUCACUGGCCCGGUACUGACGCUGAGACGCGAAAGCGUGGGGAGCGAACAGG